rnacentral:rRNA from 1 species
AAGGGUGCGUAGGCGGCCCGUUAAGUCUGGGGUGAAAGCCCGCUGCUCAACAGCGGAACUGCCCUGGAUACUGACGGGCUUGAGUACAGACGAGGUUGGCGGAAUGGACGGAGUAGCGGUGAAAUGCAUAGAUACCGUCCAGAACCCCGAUUGCGAAGGCAGCUGACUAGGCUGUUACUGACGCUGAGGCACGACAGCGUGGGGAGCGAACAGGAUUAGAUACCCCUGGU